rnacentral:rRNA from 1 species
CGGGAGGCAGCAGUGGGGAAUCUUCCGCAAUGGGCGAAAGCCUGACGGAGCGACGCCGCGUGAGCGAAGAAGGCCUUCGGGUCGUAAAGCUCGAUAGUGUGGGAAGAAGGAAUGACGUAC